AAAUUCGUGCGGUAAGUUCAGAUGAUCAACAAACCAUGCAAGAGGCAGAAACGAGCUAUACCCGAAUCCAAAUAAGCAUGUCGCAAUCACUUGCAGGAAAAUCACUUUUAACCACUACAAUUAAACUCACUCAACUUGCAAUCAGCAUCGUACAGGUCAUGGUAGAACAUACGGCAAUAACAGAGGGCUGUAUCACAGCUCGCCUAAUCUGUAAAAUUAGGAGUAAUCGUACAGGGAGAUGCUCUUGUCAUCUGAAGCGCUGGCGAGACGGCCAGCACGGACUCCUUCCCCUCCCGGUGGCCGGAAUGCAACGGCCCAGACCUGGUCUGAGUGGUUGCUCAUGGUCUGAACUGACGCCC
rnacentral:lncRNA from 1 species